UACGUAGGGUGCGAGCGUUGUCCGGAAUUAUUGGGCGUAAAGAGCUCGUAGGCGGUGUGUCACGUCGUUCGUGAAAACCUGCAGCUUAACUGUGGGCGUGCGGUCGAUACGGGCAUCACUGGAGUUCGGCAGGGGAGACUGGAAUUCCUGGUGUAGCGGUGAAAUGCGCAGAUAUCAGGAGGAACACCGAUGGCGAAGGCGGCAUCCUGGACCAAUUCUGACACUGAGGAGCGAAAGCCAGGGGAGCAAACGGG
rnacentral:rRNA from 1 species